GACGUAGGUGGCGAACGUUAUCCGGAAUUAUUGGGCGUAAAGGGUGCGUAGGCGGCAUGAUAAGUUAUUGGCGGCAAAUCGAGGCUCAACCUCGUGGAAACUGAUAAUACUGUCUUGCUUGAGUACAGUAGAGGUUAACGGAACUCCAUGUGGAGCGGUAAAAUGUGUAGAUAUAUGGAAGAACAUCAAUAACGGCGAAGGCAGUUAACUAUGCUGUUACUGACGUUGAGGCACGAAAGCGUGGGGAGCAAAACGG
rnacentral:rRNA from 1 species